GCGCUCUUCUGUUCGCUCGUAGUAACAGAGCAAAAAUGGCGUAGAGCGGAGGGUGUGCGGAGACGAGGGACGAGGGGACCUUCUCCUCUCCGGGGUGGAAGGAGGAGGAAAAGGUGGCGUUGUUGUUGGCGGUUUUUGUCCAUGAAGACUUGUCCUCACUCGGCGCGGCCGGUUCCCCUCCUAAAAGCGGACAGAGAUCCAGUUCGGAGGAUUAAUGUGUGACCGUAGAGGAAGAACCCCCUGGCUUUUGUUUACCAUAAUGAGCAGCUGCAGCUCCAAGCACAGAGGAAAUACCUCUGCACCACCUCGGACCAUCGCAGACACCAAGGUCAGUGCUGCUCAGAUCAGCUCUCACACCUGCAUACACAUUAAUCUGACCAUUUAACUCCAUGUUAGAACAGACAGGGUUACACAGAGGAGACGGUGCACUCUUUAAUAAUUAAUACACCUUAUGAUCUACCAUGAUAUGUCAGAGAAAACAGAUAUUUCUCUGCUAGUUUAAUGAUAUUGAUAAAAUAAUGAGUGAAAAAUCGAUUAGUUGGUGGACAGAAUACUUCAUAUGAUAAAUAUGAAUUUUAUUGAAGGAGAAGUUGAGCAAAGAUGGAAAUUUAAGCUUCAUAAAUCAAUUAAAGCUCCUGCACUGAGUUUAAAGAUGGUAUUAAAAAUGUCUGAAAUUCAUAUAAAUGUCAUUUCAUGAGCUGCAAAAGCAAAUGAGGUCAUUAUGGACAAGAUUCAUAAUUUCUAUGGAGUAAUUUUUAAUGGUGGAGGGCAGGUGUCAGACAAUUAAAGUAACGCAGAUUAAACACAAGAUUUUAUCUAUUUAGAUAUCUUAAAGUAGGUCUGAGAAACUUAAUGGCUAGUUAAUGCAAAUUAAAAAUUUUUCUGAACCACUUUGUUCUGCACAUAGCCUGUAUAUAGAAUGGACGCCGUCUGCCUCCUUGCUGGGUGAAGCCACUCCGAGAACAGCACCCUCUGGUGACAGGCUGCAGUAUAGGUCAUAAAUCCCGCCUCCUCCAGCAAUCCCUAUGGAGCUGUGGACAAACUUUAUAAAUUUAUUACACAGAAUAUAAAUGUUUCUCCCCCCUGGUUGUGAUGUUGACAUGUAGUUACUGUCAGACUGGUUUGUGCUCAAGUCCUCUUUUUUUCUGUACAGCUCCAUUUUUAAAAGUUAUUAGGGGGUUCAUGUUUUCUAUGAUUGACACCUGAUACAGCCUAUGGGCAUACGAAGAUUGCAUAGCUGAACCAUGUGGCAAAUUUUUUUAUUUUUUUGUAGAAUGGUAAGGGAAGGUCCUGCCCUCCUUUGCCUCUGAUUGGCUAGAAGUGCUGGGCUCAGAUUGGUUAUUCCUAAUGGCUGUGACACGUCUGUGGGGUUAGGGUUAGGAGAUUCAGAAGUGGGAUAAUGUUCUGUAAUAUUCUGUUCGAUGUACAGAACCGACAGCCCGCGUUUGGCUUGAGCGUGUGAUGACGUUUGCAGCUUUUCUAGCCAAUCAGAGGCAGAGGAGGCGGGAGUUUUUCCCUAGCGUCGUAAAAAAAAAAUGCACCCGGGGGAUACGCUGUUUGAGCCGAGCAUCAUCACAGCGACUCUUGGCGACUCUCCCACCGAAUUCGUACAAUGCCACUACAUGUGGUGGAGUGUGUACAACGCUACUGCGCAAUGUUGGUUUCAGGAAGUGGAGAACAAUCGCGGAAUUACCGAGAGCUUUUUCGGCUUUAAAUCCAUAUACUGGCAGAAGGCGGAACCAAGUUGUCCAUAGUUUAUACAGUCUAUGGUUUUGCACCUUGGGACGGGUUGAAAAGAAUAUACAAACAGGAUUAGCGGUCCUUUGAGCAAUGGCUGGAGUUUAAUUUUUAACGUAGUUUUGUUGCUGUCUAACCCAGGACUCCCUUACAUACAUGAUUUGAUUUAUGCUGAAAUUCACCCCGAGUUUCUCCCCAGGAUGGGUUUCCCAGUUGUGCCACAAGCUGAAGUCCACGGCUGAAGGAUGGAGGAGCACUUCUGACCCCAACAGCCCCAUCACCACCACAGCGGGAUCCCCUCCAUGUCUGCGUAGAUCUGUGGAGGUAAAGGAUGAGGAGUCACAGUGAGGAUGAAGACUUCUUUUGGGCUGUUGGUGCACGGGUGUCCUCUCUCCUGCUCUUCUCCACAGCACCCCCCCCUCCCUCUGUCCUGGCCUGUUUCUGCAGCACCAUCAUGAGUCAGGACAUCCGCCCUGCCAGUGGAGAAGUCUGACCUCCAUCACAAACACUCUGACCACAUCUGCAUGAAGCCGCUCGCUGGUUUUACGGUUGUUAGGUUGGCGUGAAAAGUCUUUGUUUUCAGAAAGAUCUGUGUUUGAUUUCUGUCGGGUAAACAUCGUCAGGUGAAUCUCAUAAUUUCCCCCCAUACUUUGUAAUUCGAUCACAGCAGUUUGAUUCUGAACUAAGUGCUCUACAUUAUCUGGGAAAAAAAGCAAAGACACACAAUACUGUAGCAAAGAUCAAGGCCUGUGAUUCAACUCCACUCGAAGGGUGUUUUAUUUUUGAUUUUUGCACUACCUCAUCGCCAUAACAAGUCGAGCAGGAGUGGGAGUGGGUGUGAUCAGAAGGAGGAGCCUGGUCGUAAAGCGCCACAGCAGUUCUUUUUCUUUUAAGUUAAAGGUUAAAGAGGACAGAGCAGCCCAGAAGCACACGACAUUAACCAUCAUAACUGUGGUCCCCUAUGCAUCUGUUGGAAAGGAAGGCUGCAGUUCUUGAAUUAUGUCGAUUUGUUUGUUUUUAGGAAGUCUGCAGGUUCAUUCAAACUGUUUCCCCCUCAGUGUUCUCGUCAUUUCUGCUUCUCGAUCGUCUCAAAGUCUCUGAGCUUUAAUCGCUGUCAGAGUUAUGAGUGAGUCACCUCCAAACGGCUGAGCCUCUGCAGUCAGCUCACAUUGCAAAGUGCAGAAUCGACUGACCUGCCAACAAUGUCGUACGCGCACGAUUGCCGAUAAUCCCAUAGAGUAAAGCGUAGAACUGAACUGAAUAGAUCUGCAUCAUGGAUCCGAUCGGUGCAUCCCUCAGCUUCUCUCUUUUACGCCUUUUUAAAGCUCGAAAUAUUGUUUUACAUAUAAGAUAGACGCCGACAUCGUGAAACUAGCAUUUUGUUCUUUCUGCUGUUUCGGAGGCCUCAUGUUCGGCAUUUUCAGAUGGUCUGUAUUGCCUUUUUUUUUUAUAAGACCUUUCUAUAAUAUUAGGUCAUAGUUUUCUGCUUUCACUAGCUUAGAAAGAUGCAUGGGUAAUUUACGGAAAACUUCAUAUUUUGAUCACUUCUUGAAACGCCCUCUGCUGGCUCUGAGAAGAACUGCAGGAUUAAUUUUGCUUCUAUUAGAUAGGAUAGGUAGAGGUCGUUGAACAGUUGAGUCUUUCCAGCGACUACUGCAAUAGCUUCUGUGCACAGACCGUGUUCUUUAACCCUCUAAAGCCUGGUUUAUACCUGUGUGUUCACUGCGUACCUUAGCUGUGCCGUCAUGAGCUUUAUAAACGUAUAUGCGGUAUCACCAGUCAGAGCUUGUUUGUGCAAAGAAAGCCAGAGGGACUGAAGACGAGCUUAUUAUGUUGGAUUUGAAGGUGAUAAAUGUGGAGCAGGUGUGAAGUGAACUGCAGGUAUUAAAAAGGAACAAAGAGAAGAGCUGGACCGCUGCAGGGCUGUUUAAUCAGUGUCGAUUAGAGACACUGGAAAUGUUGUAAAUGCAGCAGAUAUGAGGCGACCAGGUGGACCAAUCACAGCUCUGGCAGUCUGCAGUGUUUCAGCUGAGGUGCACUCCAGGCUUUGUUUGCAGGGAACCUCAGACUCACGCAGAAGUCUAAACCUCGCCUCUAUCUCCUCCUCUGAUGUAUAAUUUAGUGUUUACAGUUUUAAUCCAGCAUGUCCUGAUUUAGUGUCCUCCAUCCUUAAACAGGACGUCCUUCACACGCUGCAUGCAGAGACAGAAUCCCCAGUUUUCUGCAUGAGUCCAUCAGACAUGAGAGCAGAACCAGAAGCUUGAAUUCCUUUAAGAGUAGCUGAAGCAAACCCUGGUCUCAUAUUAAGUCGACGUUUUCUUCUUGAAUGAAUUUUUUUUCUUUUUCUCUUUUAUAAAAAUCACAUUUUUCCGGGAUUUGUGCAAUAUUUGAUCUUAACUGUCAUGUUGUUGACCAAACUGUAUAUUGUAUAAACAAGUGACAAGUUGUUUGAAAGCAACAAAAUCACCAAUGUCUUCCAUUAAGAUAUGUAUAGACUCAUGUGCAUUAGCUUAUUUAGCGGGACUGUGGUGCCAACAUUAUCGUAGCCAUGCAUGACCAGUAGUGAUGCUUGCUUCAUGAAGAGUAGUCGAAUCCAUUUCUAGGCUAAGCUGGCGCUCGGUGAGAGUGAGGCGGUGUUAGUCUGACGUGCUGCACCUUUAAAUCCAGAACAUGUCGAGACAGCUUCGCCCUGAAAUCUCCGAUUUAUGCAGCAUCGCCUUUUUGAACUCCAUGUCUCGGGUGUAGGAUAAGUUGCAUCAUGAAAAUACGACACGACAGGGUGUGCACAUUACGUUGUUUUAUAUAUGCAUGUGUAAAAUGUUCUUAAAAGAGCUGAAGAGGUGUCCUGAAUUGUAUCCAUGCACUCUUUAAGCAUGAAAAGAAUUAGGUAGUAAGUUUUCGAGCACCAAAAAGCUCCACAAAGCGAGCCUCAGAUCCAACAGCGGUAGAACUUUGAAACGGUUGUAUUUAAAUCUUAGAUUUGGGUUUUUAGUCUCUCAUACAUAAACACCUUAUUGUACAUAAUACCUCAUAGUUUUGGGGGUUCAGAGCGAUAUAUAUUUUAAUCCAUAAAUUGUAUUUGAUUAGAGUUUUAGAAGCAAUAACCUUCAAUAAUGCAUGAUUUAGUGCCAGGGUGUACGUGUGUUAAAGGACUCUGUAAAGUCACGUGGAAAGGACUUUUUCUUCCCCUCUCUUUUACGCCUGAAGUAGCUCUCUGUCUGUUUGUCUGUCUAUAGAAAUAUAUUUGACUUUAGCGUAAACUCUCAAAGCUUUUUUCCCGUCAGGACAGCUGUAGCAUCUCAGCAUCGCCUCUUAUCUCCAUCCUUCUCAUGCCAAAAUGAAACCCUGCCUUUUAUUCUUCGACACCAAACAACGAUAGACGUUAACCGGUACAUGAGAGAUGCUUUAAGUUUAGAGUCUCGUAGCAUUUCCACACCCACAGAAGCCCCCCUCCACCCCUGCCUUUAAAACUUUCACUAACUCUGUGGCUGCAGAAGACUCAGUGAACGGACGUGUUUGAAAAGCACUUUCUCUCCACAUGUACUGACUCGCCCCAUCCUCAUCUUCAUCACCAUCCUGUCUUGAAUUCUGUGUUCUCUAAAAAAGAAAACCCUGUAAUGCUCUCUGUUGGGAUUAUAACCACAAUUUAUAAGCAAGUAGGCGUCUAGCUACAAUGACUAUAUGGGUUUAAAAAAUAUGCAUGACUUUUAGCAGAAUAAUGAAUGAUUUGUAUUGCAUGCAAUAAUCCAACUUUGUAAUGUGAAUGAGUGUAAUUAGGCUAAUGAAAUGUUCAUUCUGGGACCUUCUGUGAAAAGGGGACACCUUGGGGAACGGUUGUUUGACAGCAUGUUGAAGUAGCUUUGUUCAUCAGCUGCAGUUUAAACGUAUUUAAUGCACCAAAAAAGAAAGAAAGAAAGUGGUGGUUUCAGAGAGUCUGAGGAGUUUCAGGACCACAGCAGCGCAGCUGACAAACACCAUCCAACCUUUAGUUCCCAUGUAAAGAAAAUAACCCCAACAAUAACAAAAGCUUCAGUCAGAUGAGUCUGGACUUUACUCUGUUGAUCAACUUUUCCACUGAGGAGGUGGACUGUGUAGAAACUAUGCACUCCAGAGGGAGGAAAUGGGCAUGCUUGUUACGUGUGAGCCUCUUGUCUGGUUUUGUAUUAUUAACUUUAAGGAAAAAAAAAAAGGAAUCUGUAUCAGAAAUUCAGCAAUAAAAUGCAGCAUGGUGCCAAUUGGACGGCU